GAUGAAGAACGUAGCGAAAUGCGAUAAGUAGUGUGAAUUGCAGACUUUAGUGAAUCAUCGAAUCUUUGAACGCACAUUGCGCCCCUUGGUAUUCCAUUGGGCAUGCCUGUUCGAGCGUCAUUUAAACCUUCAAGCUUUGCUUGGUGUUGGAGACUGGCGGGGCGCAUGCGCCCGGAGCCACUCCCAAAUACAAUGACGGCGGCGACGAUGACCCCCGGCACACUGAGCUUCUCACCGAGCACGUGCUGGAAGGGUCUUGUGGCCACGGUCUGCCUCCCCUCUGGGAGAAACGGAUUUCAUCCACCAAGGUUGACCUCGGAUCAGGUAGGGAUACCCGCUGAACUUAAGCAUAUCAAUAAGCGGAGGA
rnacentral:misc_RNA from 1 species